rnacentral:rRNA from 1 species
UACAGAGGGUGCAAGCGUUAAUCGGAAUUACUGGGCGUAAAGCGUGCGUAGACGGUUAUUUAAGUCAGGUGUGAAAGCCCCGGGCUCAACCUGGGAAUUGCAUUUGACGACUGAAUAGCUAGGGUGCGGAAGAGGGAAGCGGAAUUUCCGGUGUAGCGGUGAAAUGCGUAGAUAUCAGGAAGAACACCGGUGGCGAAGGCGGCCUGCUGGGCAGUAGCUGACACUGAGGCGCGGACAGCGUGGGGAGCAAACAGG